AUUAUAUACAGGAGGUACGGCUGAGAAGUCUCCAUUAGUGUUUGGGAAAGGUCAGCAGUAAUCAAAGCUCAGAACUCUUAAGCUUGCCUGGACAUCUGGCAGCAGCUGUGGACAGAGAGCACAGCUCCUUGCUGGGAGCUGUUGGCUCUCCCCCUUCCAUCCCAGGUACCUGUCAGAUGGACUUUGCAGCUUGGGUUGAUGCAGGACUGAGAUUUACAGGGACAGAGGUUAAUGGAAAUGAAUUCUCUACCUGAGGAAAAGUACAUUGCUGGCUUCCAAACGUUGUGACUUCCUUGUUCAGCCAUUCCAGAGACCCCUGAUUUCUACAAGGUCUCUGACAGAGGGGAAACAGCUUUGUUAGUUCAUUCAUUGUUAGUUCAGGGCUCGCUGUGCUGUGUGAGCUGCAUCACAGAAUCGCUUGUUAUGGAUGUGAAUUAGCUGCUGUUAUGUUAACUAGCAUUAUGGAGCAAUCUAAUGCUAAUUAAAAUUGUUUUGUCGCUGUUCUACGGUAUUAAAUUUUAAUUGGAGUGCAUAGAUCUCUCUCUUGACUGGUGCAAAAUUAAAUAAUUAAUUAAUAUCCUGGUUUAAUUCCAGAUAUUCGCUGCCAUCUCACUGUAUUUUCAAUAACUUCAACGAGCUUUGAAACAUGCUGUAGAAUGAUACCCAAAAAAAACCCACCCCUUUAAUGAAAUUUGAACGUAAUAGCAUUUUAUUUAUGCUAAAUUAAUUUAUCUCUUGUGUACUUUUGCAGUUUAAGCUUUGUAACCUAUCCUGUUCAAUAAUUUCUGAGGUCCUAAUCAGGCCUACCUAUCUCCUGUGAUGUAUUGAAUCACCCAGGAAAUUGUCUGUUGUUUAACAAUUAACCAAGCUCAUUUCUACCUCUAGCAAUAAACUUUUAGGACCUUUGAACUGAUAUUUGCCU
ensembl:lncRNA